rnacentral:rRNA from 1 species
AGCAGCCGCGGUAAUUCCAGCUCCAAUAGCGUAUAUUAAAGUUGUUGCAGUUAAAAAGCUCGUAGUUGAACUUCGGGAUCAAUUGAUUGGUCAUGCCUUGGUAUGUACUGUUCAUAUUGGUUCUCACCUUCUAAUGAACCAUAAUGUCAUUUAUUUGAUGUUAUGGGGAAUUAGGACUGUUACCUUGAAAAAAUUAGAGUGUUUAAAGCAGGCUCACGCUUGAAUACAUUAGCAUGGAAUAAUGAAAUAGGACAUCGCAUUCUAUUUUGUUGGUUUCUAGGAUCGAUGUAAUGAUUAAUAGGGAUAGUUGGGGGCAUUAGUAUUCAAUUGUCAGAGGUGAAAUUCUUGGAUUUUAUUGAAGACUAACUACUGCGAAAGCAUUUGCCAAGGAUGUUUUCAUUAAUCAAGAACGAAAGUUAGGGGAUCGAAGACGAUCAGAUACCGUCGUAGUCUUAACCAUAAACUAUGCCGACUAGGAUCGGAUGAUGUUGAUUUUUU